rnacentral:misc_RNA from 1 species
AAGUCGUAACAAGGUUUCCGUAGGUGAACCUGCGGAAGGAUCAUUAAAUUUGCAGUCUACCAUAACUGCCUCGGGGGGCUCUAGUGCUCCUGCUUCGGCGGUCGAGCUUUGGCUUUGCAUAGAGUCUCUGUCUGAACCCUUGUCUUUUGCGCACUUAUGUUUCCUCGGCAGGCUUGCUUGCCGAUUGGACAAUCCUAAACCUUUUUAAUUUUUUAAUCAGCGUCAGAACAAUUAUAAUAAUUACAACUUUCAACAACGGAUCUCUUGGUUCUG